rnacentral:rRNA from 1 species
CCUACGGGAGGCAGCAGUGGGGAAUAUUGCACAAUGGGGGAAACCCUGAUGCAGCGACGCCGCGUGGGGGAAGAAGGAUUUAGGUAUGUAAAGCUCUAUCAGCAGGGAAGAAAAUGACGGUACCUGAUGAAGAAGCACCGGCUAACUACGUGCCAGCAGCCGCGGUAAUACGUAGGGGGCAAGCGUUAUCCGGAUUUACUGGGGGUAAAGGGAGCGUAGACGGGAGCACAAGUCUGGAGUGAAAUGCCGGGGCUUAACCACGGAACUGCUUUGGAAACUGUGCAGCUAGAGUGCAGGAGAGGUAAGUGGAAUUCUUAGUGUAGGGGUGAAAUGCGUAGAUAUUAGGAGGAACACUAGUGGCGAAGGCGACUUACUGGACUGUAACUGACGUUGAGGCUCGAAAGCGUGGGGAGCAAACAGGAUUAGAUACCCUGGUAGUC